rnacentral:lncRNA from 1 species
CGAGUGCAGCAGCGCUGCUCUGAGCAGGGGAUGAGCGUUGCAGCAGGGAGGCAGACAGACGGACAGGACGGACAGAGACAGGAUGGACAGACGGACAGGACAGACAGAGUCAGACAGGAUGGACAGAGAGACAAGACAAGCCGGACAGACGGAUGCAGGUUGUGCCCCGGUGCCCUGUGUCCAUUCCAUGGUUCUGUGACCUUCAAGGACCUUUCCAACCCAACCUAACCAUUUCAUGGUUCUGUGACCUUCAAGGACCUUUCCAAUCCAACCCGACCAUUCCAUGGUUCUGUGAUCUUUAAGGACCUUUCCAAUCCAACCCAACCAUUCCAAGGUUCUGUGAUCUUCAAGGACCUUUCCAAUCCAAUCCCACUAUUCCAUGGUUCUUUGAUUUUGAAGGACCAUUGUAUGAUUCUGUGACCUUCAAGGACCUUUCCAAUCCAACCCAACCAUUCCAUGCUUCUGUGAUCUUCAAGGACCUUUCCAAUCCAACCCGACCAUUCCAUGGUUCUGUGAUCUUUAAGGACCUUUCCAAUCCAACCAGACCAUUCCGUGGUUCUGUGACCUUCAAGGACCUUUCCAACCCAGCCCAACCAUUCCAUGGUUCUGUGAUCUUUAAGGACCUUUCCAAUCCAACCCG